CGCAUGCUCCCGGCCGCCAUGGCGGCCGCGGUUAAUUCGAUUGGAAUUCCUCCUACGGGAGGCAGCAGUGGGGAAUAUUGCACAAUGGGCGCAAGCCUGAUGCAGCGACGCCGCGUGAGGGAUGAAGGCCUUCGGGUUGUAAACCUCUUUCAGUAGGGAAGAAGCUGGUCCUUUGGGGUUGGUGACGGUACCUGCAGAAGAAGCGCCGGCUAACUACGUGCCAGCAGCCGCGGUAAUACGUAGGGCGCAAGCGUUAUCCGGAAUUAUUGGGCGUAAAGAGCUCGUAGGCGGUUUGUCGCGUCUGCCGUGAAAGUCCGGGGCUUAACUCCGGAUCUGCGGUGGGUACGGGCAGACUAGAGUGCAGUAGGGGAGACUGGGAAUUCCUGGUGUAGCGGUGAAAUGCGCAGAUAUCAGGAGGAACACCGAUGGCGAAGGCAGGUCUCUGGGCUGUAACUGACGCUGAGGAGCGAAAGCAUGGGGAGCGAACAGGAUUAGAUACCCUGGUAGUCCAUGCCGUAAACGUUGGGCACUAGGUGUGGGGGACAUUCCACGUUUCCCGCGCCGGUAGCUAACGCAUUAAGUGGCCCCGCUGGGGGAGGACGGGCCGCAAGGGUUAAACUCAAAGGAAUUGACGGGGGCCCGCACAAGCGGCGGAGCAUGCGGAUUAAUUCGAUGCACGCGAAGAACCUUACAAGGGUUGACAUGACCGGAAUGAUGCACAGAGUGUCAGCCAUUGUGGCCGGUUACAA
rnacentral:rRNA from 1 species